AGUGCCUUAGAGAAGUGGCUCAACUCAUUCCCUUUAGGCUUGAAAACUUGGGAGAGGUCGGGGGUUCGAUUCCCUCAGGCACCC